rnacentral:tRNA from 1 species
GGGCCAUAGCUCAGUUGGGAGAGCGCCUGCUUUGCAAGCAGGAGGUCGUCGGUUCGAUCCCGUCUGGCUCC